UUGGCUCAGGAUGAACGCUGGCGGCGUGCUUAACACAUGCAAGUCGAACGGAGUGUAAACGCUGAAGCGAUUUCGGUCAAUUCUUGUUUAUACUUAGUGGCGGACGGGUGAGUAACGCGUGGGUAACCUGCCGUAUGCAGGGGGACAACAGUUGGAAACGACUGUUAAUACCGCAUAAGCGCACAGCACCGCAUGGUGCAGUGUGAAAAACUCCGGUGGAACAGGAUGGUCCCGCGUCUGAUUAGGCAGUUGGCAGGGUAACGGCCUACCAAACCGACGAUCAGUAGCCGGCCUGAGAGGGUGAACGGCCACAUUGGGACUGAGACACGGCCCAAACUCCUACGGGAGGCAGCAGUGGGGAAUA
rnacentral:rRNA from 1 species